UUAAACAGGUGCCACCCUCUGGCCCUUUGUGGAAGGAGGUUAGUGAGGCCCACCUCAUCGUCAGUGAGCCUAUGAAGGGCUGGACCUGAAGAAGAGACUUGCAGCUUCUGCCUUCAGGUUUGGCACAGUCUAUUUUGAAAGCCAGCCUUAUGUGAGAAGUCCAACUACCCUGAGGCCACCACACUGUGAGGAGGUCCAAGCUAGCCGCGUGGAGAGAAGGAGGCCACCUGGAGAAACUGAGGCACUAGACAUAUGAAUGAAGCCCCUUGGCCUGUCCAGCCCAGCCCAGCCCCCAGAAGAAUGCAGCCCAGUGAGUGACCAUAGGCAACAGUUCUGCCAUAAGGAGCAGAACCACCAAGCUGAAUUCUGACAAAUUCCUGAGCUGAAGGACUCAUGAGAAGUAGUUUGGGGUUGUUUGCUAUGCAGCAAUGGAUAACUGAAACGGAAUGAUAUUCCCAUUGUAUAGAUUAAAAAAAUGAGGCUCACACCACCUAUACUGUAAACCUCUAAGCAGUAGCACCAGCUUCAAACCCAGAGCUCCUGAAUCCAAAGCUGAUGCCUUGCCCUCCAUGCCUGAUGGGGAGGCAUUCCCCACUGCAGGAUGUAGACUGUGGGAGGACUGGGGGCUCUGAGACCCAGCCGUGGGGCCACACCUUCCCCCAUUCUCUUUGGAGGAGGAUGGUAACAUGAUGUUCAGCUCUGGAGAACCUAGAACCCCAAACUCUUCCUCUCUGUCCCUUCAUCCUCACCAUCAGCUUCCCGAGAAAGAACCAGAAGGAAGGAACUGUGGUUAGGUGCCAAGACAAACCUUGGGACAACUCUGCAUGGUCUUCCUCCAAGUGUGAUUAGAAAUGCUGUUCUGGGCAGCCUUUUCAAUGUUAAUGGGGGCAAAGUUAGUUUCAGUGGUAACAAAGUCUGAUGUUACUAAGAACAUAUUUUCAUCACAUUCUAUAGUUAAUAAAGGACUUUAAUCCUAUGGGCUUGGGUGGCCCUAAAAGUCUACCCCCUCAAAUUCUCCAGGGGUCACAGACACAGAAGAGCAGAUGGUGUCACACUCCCCCAGAAUUGAG
rnacentral:lncRNA from 1 species